rnacentral:rRNA from 1 species
UAGGGAAUAUUGGGCAAUGGAGGGAACUCUGACCCAGCCAUGCCGCGUGCAGGAUGAAGGCGUUAUGCGUUGUAAACUGCUUUUAUAUAGGAAGAAAUAGUCCUUGCGAGGAAAGUUGACGGUACUAUAUGAAUAAGCACCGGCUAACUCCGUGCCAGCAGCCGCGGUAAUACGGAGGGUGCAAGCGUUGUCCGGAUUUAUUGGGUUUAAAGGGUGCGUAGGUGGCCCUGUAAGUCAGUGGUGAAAUAUCUCAGCUUAACUGAGAGGGUGCCAUUGAUACUGCAGGGCUUGAGUACAGAUGAGGUAGGCGGAAUUGACGGUGUAGCGGUGAAAUGCAUAGAUAUCGUCAAGAACACCGAUAGCGAAGGCAGCUUACCAAGCUGUAACUGACACUGAGGCACGAAAGUGUGGGGAUCAAACAGGAUUAGAUACCCAUGUAGUCCCUGAGCGGGCUGGCAAGGCGCAU